CAUAAUCUCUGAGGAGAAAAGCAGGGGAUCGCAAGACCUUGCACUUUUGGAGCGGCCGAUGUCUGAUUAGCUAGUUGGUGGGGUAAUGGCCUACCAAAGCUUCGAUCAGUAGCUGGUCUGAGAGGACGACCAGCCACACUGGGACUGAGACACGGCCCAGACUCCUACGGGAGGCAGCAGUGGGGAAUUUUGGACAAUGGGCGCAAGCCUGAUCCAGCCAUGCCGCGUGAGUGAAGAAGGCCUUCGGGUUGUAAAGCUCUUUCAGCCGGGAAGAAAAGGUUGCGACUAAUAAUCGUAAUUCAU
rnacentral:rRNA from 1 species